GCGGAUAAAACGGUCCCAUCAAGAUUGAGAAAAAGCACACCAAAUGUUGGUACAGCGUGGGCAGUGGGGCCUACAGGAUGACUUAGUCUACAGAGAUCCCGGCGUACUUAAGCAGAUGAAGACUCUUAAGAUGACAGAAGGUGAAUUUUUCUGGUGAUCGAGGACUCCUGGGGUCAUGAGAGUGAUGAAAUGCAGGGGACCUGGUGGCCCCCAAGUUUCCUGGCAGUGUGUGAUACUGAGAUUCAUGUGUUACAUGUAAAGCUGUCCUCAGUUGUGACUAUGGACCUAUGGAGUUGGGACAAUCUCUAUGGGAAGCAGAAGGCAAGACCCCGGUCAUUUUAGGUAGAAACAACAGCAUGCUAAUGCAAAAAAUUAUGCAAUGUGCUACUGAACUUCAGAGGUGAUCAAUAAAAGAAUAAAGACUAGUAAAAGUA
rnacentral:antisense_RNA from 1 species